UUUCUGUCUAAUAUUCCUGUGUGACCCAGGUGGCUGUCUCCUUGAACUGAUGAUGCAGCUGACAAUAAUCAUGGGAGGACAGUCCAUCUGGAAUAACAUACAAGAGGUGUUACUUCCGUGUUUCUCAUGUGCAAAUUGGUAUCCCUGCAUGAGAACCAUAAACCAACAGAAAACCCAAAAGACCGAGGACAAUGAUGGGUUGCCGACAGCCCAAGCUUUUCUGCCACAGAAGAGUGGUUCCAGUCAGGAAGACUGAGCAAGAGGCUCAGAGUCUUAGCUAAGGACAAGCAAGUCGGGACUUCUAAUACGACCUAAUGUCAUCGACGGGGGAGGGCAGUUCAGCACAAGAAGGGAGCACCAGCUGGGUCAUGAAUCUAAUGAUGCCACAGUUUCGGAAGCAGAACAGACCACCCCACGAUGGGAAUGGGACAACCAUCUGUAUCCAACGGGCAAACUGGGGUUAUUUUAUGAAUACCCUGAAAUGAGUAUUCAGUUUGGGUUCACCACAGUAUAUGUGGCCUCUUUCCAGUGGCCCCUCUGUUGGCUCUGGAGAACAAUAUAUUGGAAAUCAGAGUGGGUACGUGGAACCUUGACUACCCAGUAUAGAUGCAUUGUGCCAGAAAGCCCAGAACAUCGCAGCAUGGCAGCCCACCAUGCAAGGAACUGCAAUUCUGGCUUUGGUGGACCAAUGUGAAUAAAAAGGCUUCAUUGGGUGAAGACUUAGAAAAGUCCAAAAAUGCAUUGGUGUUGUUUCCUAAGGAAUCUAGUGUUGGGUACUGUUUAAUAUGAGAGGGAGAUGCUAACACUAUCAUCGUUAUAAACAACAUAGUUGUUGUAACUGUAAUUGUUAUUAUUUUUAAUAUAUUUUCUUUAUAAUUAUUAUUUGUGACUUACAAGACCCUUACAGAGGCAGUUGUUAAGGAGCGUGGCCGUUAUACUGUUGCUGAAGUGUUAAUUCAGUAGAAGCAUGGUAAUAGCAUUAAUAAGUACUCACUCUUUUGAUCCUCACAUUGACUAUAAAGGUCACCCAGCAGUGCUUGUAUAAUGGAGAUAGAAAUCUAUCCGUUUAAGUGUUUGUAGAACUUAAAAUAAGAGCAGACAUUCCACCGCAUUUGACCAUAUAUUCCAGACUAUCAGUUUAAAAUAGGAACUACCUGAUGAGGCCAUAGAAACACUUUGUGCAUCCCCAAUCAUUCACUACCUUCCUGGUCCCCUGGGGCAGCGGUUCUUCCAGAAGGUGGCCCCAUCUCUCCUCCCCACCCCACUCUUGGCCUUUGAUAACAACUGUUGGUCAUUAGCUAAGCAUCCUCAUGUCCUGCAUGUGUCUGAGCUGUGAGGGAACAGAACUCAGCUGUUUACAAACUGUAUUGACUAUGACCAGUAUGAACAGCCUCUCUCCUUCCCUGCCCACAACCCCACAGUGCAACACGGGGCUCACAACCACAGCGAUUCCCAUGCCAGCCCAUCAGGGAACCUUCUUCCCUAGAAAUAUUCUU